AUCACUUCUUGGCCUUUUGGCUAAGAUAAAGUACAGUUUCUGUUCUUAUCAGCUCAGUAUCUGAUAUGUCCUCUAUCCAAGGGCAUUAUAUUAAAUUUAUUUUUGGAAGAGGGAGAUGGAAUAGGAGCUUGCUCCAUCCACUCCACACAUCGACCUCAUAUUGCAGUACCUCCGGGAACAGUGCAGAACAU